UGGAAGGCAUCUCAUCCCAAGACUUCUCUGGAGGAGGUGGGGCCUGGGGACUGAGAGAAAGAGCCUGUGAUUAAAUAGGCCUGCACUUCAUGACUCAAAACCCUCCAGAUGACUAAUGUGAGACACCUAAACUCCAAGUUGGACACUGCCAAUUUACAUCUCAUAACUCAUUUCAGCUCUACAUCUGGCCCAGUGCCCAUGUAAUGGCCCAGAUGAUUCCUCCGUAGAGUGGAUAGAGCCAAGAGCUUGUCUCCUAGAAGUGCAUGAGCUGAACAAAGACUAGCCAGAGGCAACUUUGCCAGGGAUAAACACUGGCAAACACAAGCAUUCAGUAGGUAAACUCUCACUAUCUUCAUUCAUAAUUAAUUCUACAAGACAAGCCAGAGAUACAUCUGCAAGUGCUUUUAGAGCAGGAGGUCACAGUUUUAAGUCUCUUAACAUGACUUGUACUGGUCAAUCAGCUCCAGCUGUUAUAUAGUUUAUGAAAUCACAAUAAUAAUUUUCUGUCUCACAAACUAUAGACCACCCACAGUUCCUCCUUUGACUGUCUUAAACAAAAAUGGUGCGAGCUGAUUAUAUAACUAUUUCCAAACUAACUGGUUAGAAACUUUUAGGAGCCAUGGAUGACUUUUUUUCAUUUUAUUUGUCAUCCUAAAACAGUAGUAAAGACUGAAAGAAACUACUGUAGUAGAAACUAGUAAA